rnacentral:lncRNA from 1 species
UUCAUCCUAUACUAGUAAACGAUUAUCAUGAAAGGAACAGCAGUAAAUACUGUGAGAAAUUUACAGAGCUUUCUUGAUACUUCGAAAUCUGUAAGGAUAACUCUCUACUCAAAGCAAAUCUAUCAUUAGCUAACUGGCAACAGUAGAUUACUCUUUGCUCCUAUUAACUAUUUCAGCUCACUGGACCAACAAAUCUGGAAAACAAAUGAAUUAAAGGCUCCGCAAUAGAAACAUAGAAAAACAGAGUUGUGGCAGCAUCUUUUGACACCUGCAAGAACAAGACCUCCUGUACUGUGAGAUCCAUGCAUACCGCUAAUCAGAUUUUUGACACAAGAGGAUUUCAGCUUUCAACCCUUUUCCUGGUUCCUACUCAUACUGCAGACCUGAAGAGAGAAACGGAAGAACGGAGCUGGUUUUCAGCUUCGCUGGGCAUUUACACAAACACAGAGCAUGCGUCAUCUUCCACCUUGGUUAAUCUGCAAAAAAAUGCAUACACAACAUGCAUCCGCGGUGAGACGACUUGUAUCCGCGGUUAGCAGCUCACCGUGCCUGGACGACUUACAUCCGUGGUGAAGAUGCCCGCGCUCUCAGGCGCGCCGGCGGCGCCGUCAUCCUUGUCGUAAGCCUUCCUGUGCAUAUGAUGGAUUGUCUAACUUCAAAUCCUCACGAGCUGGAGGGGGCCCGCUCCUCCCGUGGUGGCGACGGAAUCCGACGACGGCAGCGGGGCGUCUGGCGGCGGGUGGCGACGGAGAACGGCGAUGGAAGGCCGCGAUGGAAAAAAAGGCGAUUUCAGAGAAUGUCGAAGGCGAGCAGGCUUUUUGGGUUUUGGGUUCGAUUGUGUGAUUGAGGAGGGAAUGGUGCCAAUAUUCUGAAGCAUAGGAUCAUUAGGUUGAUGCAAAUCUCAACAUGUGUCAGCAUAAUUAAAACAAAUUGCCAUCUACCUUUACAGGCGCAGGUAUUGGCUUC